GAAAAAUAGAUGGCCUACCCACCUUUUGUAAAAGGAGUACCUAACUGAUAGAAUAGGUACAUUGUUGAAAAAACAAUACAACAUCAAGACCGUGUUUACUCCCCUACAAAAGAUAGCCCACUUGAUGCGAUCUCCGAAGGAUCAUUUGCUAUAGCUCUUACAUUGGUCAAACUAAGAGACCCAUAACGAUUCGGGUGUCGGAACACAUCAAAUCGGUUAAAAACAACGAUCCUCAGAAAUCUGCGAUCGCGGAGCAUAUUCUAAGUACAGGCAGGCACAAAAAAUUGGAUUGAACUCCACAAUCCCCGAGUUCUUUCUCCAGACCGCCACUUUAUAUCAAGACUGGCGCGCGAAGCGAUUGAGAUUCGCAAUCACCAAGAAUUUCAAUCGUGAGCAUGGCUUUAAGCUAGCAAAUAUGUGGAAUCCAGUGGUAGAAUUAUGCAAACCAGGACAACAUUGCACGACAUCUAAAGUUAAUAGUGACGUUGUGAAUGUAUUUUU